rnacentral:misc_RNA from 1 species
UGAGCACUCAUGUUGCACCGUACGUGUCUUUUACUUGAGUUCUAUUGUACUUUAUUAACUUUCUACAUUCAUGAUUUGAAGAAAGAUGUUCAUUGACGGACACAUGAUUGUGUAUUUAAUGUUGAAUUGUAGUUUGAAGUUGCAUGUGCUAAAAAAGAUUUUACUAACAAGCAUGACUUAAUGGGGAAAAUCAGUGUGAAUAUACUGUGCUUUUGGAUGUUUUACUUGAAAAUUGGAAAUUUUCCUACCAAGAGAAGAGGGAUCUGUCUGUUAAUCUGUCUGUAAAGAAGAAA